rnacentral:rRNA from 1 species
CAAUAGCGUAUAUUAAAGUUGUUGCAGUUAAAAAGCUCGUAGUUGGACCUUGGACCUGGACAGGCGGUCCGCCUCACGGCGUGUACUGUCUUGCUGGGUCUUUCCUCUUGGUGAUCUGUUGUUUCGGCAGCAGGGAACCAGGACUUUUACUUUGAAGAAAUUAGAGUGUUCAAAGCAGGCUCGACGCCGGAAUAUAUUAGCAUGGAAUAAUAAAAUAGGACGUGCGGUUCUAUUUUGUUGGUUUUUGGAAUCGCCGUAAUGAUUAAUAGGGACAGUCGGGGGCAUUAGUACUCACAUGCUAGAGGUGAAAUUCUUGGAUUUUGUGAAGACUAACUUCUGCGAAAGCAUUUGCCAAGGAUGUUUUCAUUAA